rnacentral:rRNA from 1 species
UAGGGAAUCUUCCACAAUGGGCGAAGGCCUGAUGGAGCAACGCCGCGUGUGUGAUGAAGGGUUUCGGCUCGUAAAACACUGUUGUAAGAGAAGAAUGACAUUGAGAGUAACUGUUCAAUGUGUGACGGUAUCUUACCAGAAAGAACGGCUAAAUACGUGCAG